rnacentral:lncRNA from 1 species
GUCCAGGGAGCAAUUGGAAGCAAAAGCAUAUGACAAAGGAGGACAGAAGAACAGUAGGUACUUUUGCCAAAGGAGAUUUGCCCAGAACUAUAGAUAGGUUUUGCCAAAGGAGAUUUGCCCAGAACUAUAGGUAUGUAGGUUUCCCAAAGGAGAUGUGCCCAGAACUAUAGGUAUGUAGGUUUUGCCAAAGGAGAUUUGCCCUCAAACUAGGAAUUGCUUCUCACAGAAGAUAAUUCCCAGAGAGGAAAGUCCAAUUGAAAGAUGCGUUUACUUUCAAUAAUCACCAGACAUAAGUAGUCAUCAGAGAAUAUG